ensembl:lncRNA LINC02380 long intergenic non-protein coding RNA 2380
GAGUCUGAAGGCAGGAAAAGACUGAUGUCCCAUCUCAAAGCAGUCAGGCAGAGGGAGUUCCCUCUUGUUCUCACUCAAGGAAGGCAUCUCUUGCAAAAGCCCAGCUCCUAGAGAGCAGGAGCCUUCCCAGACUGUGUCAAAUUACCUCGGGGAUGGAGAGACUUACAUGGCAUUAAUAGAAAUCAAAUGGCAGAGCUCGGGUUUCUGAUGAGUCUCCUGAGGUUCAGAAGGGUGAGAUGACACAUUCAAGGUCACAUGGCUCAUUUGUGUUGGAGUCAGAAGUUUCCAGAUUUCUUGACUUUUAGUCCAAGGAGCAGUCCCUGUGCAUGUGUCAGAGUUGAACAAGCCAGCUGGACUGAGUGCCCAUGACCUCAGGGACAUCUUGGAAGCUAUAUGUAGAAGAUGGAAAAGCCUCUGUCAUCUCCAUCAAUUUAAUCUCCAAAUAACUACUUAGAAAAGGGACAGCUUACUAACUCCUUCAUUGCCCAGUACUAUUAGCUAAAAACAUUAUAACAGGAGAUUCAAAUUCUACAUGGUGGGAGCAAAAGUGGAUCUUGUUUUUCUAUAGCAACAUGGUUGACCUUCAUAGUGAAGUUUGAAUCUGACAGCAUUCAUGCUCAAAUGUCCAAGCCCUGCAUUUCUGAUACCAUGGAAUCACAAGCACGCUGUGUGAUACUGUGCAGCAUUUGAUCCUGCCUGACUUCUGUGUCUCAGCCUAUCAACGAAGAUAUUUAUAGCUGCCUUAUGCCAACGUACUUUUUAAAGCUGGGUAAUACCAGUGUAAGAUGGUCACAUUUAUCUUGAAAGCCGAGGAACCCCCUUUCCUCUACAAAACUCCUAAAGAAUAGAUAAUUGUCUAUAUUUCUUCAAAUCUUUGGCAUCCCGGAAGUACCUUGAAUAAAUCAUCAAGUUUUAGG